AAGAUCAAAUAUUCACGCUCGCAAAAUAGAUCAGCCCGACUUGGGUUCAUUCUUGGGUUCAUUCUGCUAAACUUGCUGGUGUUAUUUUGUCUCACUUCACAUAUACACAGAGGCAACUUUAUUGCGUUCGGAAGAUGAUCGUCUACAGAAAUAAUGGGAUGCUAGAAGAUGCGUGGAGCUAACUGUGAGUUUUUUCUCAGAGAGCAGCUCUACCAAAGAGCAUAUAUAUUUAAAAUAUUUUUUAUUCAUUUCUUGUCUUAUUUGUUUAGAACUUAAUCCAUCUGAACAAUAUUUAUGAAAUGAAAAAAGCGUUAAAAAGAAUGCUAAAUCAAAACGAAUGCUAGUCAUGCAGACUUGUUAGAGCUGUAACUAGUUUCUGAUUUUAACCUUGGCUAAGGAAUAAAAGGGAAUAAACUGUCAUUUGGUUGAAGCUGUACCAUAUAACAGUUUGCUUUUAUACCAGGA